AACCCCCAAACCACUCAUCUCAGCAGCUGCUCCGUGUAACCAAUUUCAAAACAUUCUUCGGCUUUUCUCUCUGCUAAAUUAGAAUUUUUUCGACAAGAAAUGACUCUGCAGUUCUUGGACAGAUACACCCAGUAAGCGCAGGCAAGGAGGUGUUCUGUAGCUGCGAUCAGAAGAGGGGAGCAGCGUGCAAGCAGCAGUUCCCUCCCCUGCGUGGCUGAGGUGGCUGAAUCCCGCCGUCGAGUGCUCUGACCUGCAAGCUGGAGGAUAGGUGCACGUUAUAGAGGUGCACCAGAGAUAAGGAAGAAGCCGGUGGCACAAGCUGCUGCCAAGCUGCAGUACGCAAAAGCCAAACUGUAAAUUUUAAAAGAAGGCAGGGUAUCGAGUGCAAGGCAUGGCUCACCGCAGCGGUCCCUGAUAACCAGGUUCCGGCCUUCUUUCAGGUGGAUCGUCAGCAGUGACUGCACUUAUUCUCUUGAGCCUGAUCUAUGAAAUAAGUGCCUGCUCCCAGACAUCAGAAUUAACUCUUCUUCACCAUGGAGGUCUGUGCUUUCAAGCACUGAAAAUCCCUCACACAAAUUCUCCUGAUGCCUGAGGGUCAUUGAAGUUGGUGAAUUAUCAGUCUCUGCUGCAAUGCCUGUAAUUCCUGGACAGAUUUUAUUUGAUGAAUCUGUAAGUUCCCUCACUAAGAGGGAAUGAAAAAUUCCAGAAGCGGCAGCAGCAGCAGCAAUAUGCUGGGGUCAGAGAGCAGGAAGCACUCUCACCCGAGUGCAUUUUCUCCUUCAUCACCCAAAAGGCAAGUUUCAAGAAAAAUUCUUCGCAAAAUCCCAGUGUGCAUUUCAGCUUCGAAUUCUCUAAGCCUUUGGUGGCAAGAAAAGGGAAUAUUUCAUACUACUGUUUUAGAGUAUGUUAUGCCCUGGUAACUCAGUUAUUUACAUUCAAAUUGAGAACAUAAUGCAUACAACCUCAUAAUGUAUAUAAUCUCAUAAGGGGAUAAAUCACCUUUGGCAAACAGACAAAAAAUAGAAACAUUUUGUCAAAGGAAAAGGGAAGAAAGAUGCUGGACACAUAGGUUACCAUUUUCGGCUACAGAAGCACAGAGUUUAGACUGUCUGGACACACAGAAGAGAUUCAUCGCUCAGGACCCUCUGAUGUUAUUUUGAUUGCCUGGACAGUUCUAUGAUCAUCAUUUUGCUGAAGAGGACCUACGUGCAUGGGAAACUUUUGGUCUAAUGCAGGGUAAUUACACGCCAUUCAAGCACACAGAUUUAUGCUAAGAAUAACCACCUCACUCUUCAGAAAUGCACACAAGAUGGAAUUUGAUCUCCAUGUGAAAGUGUUAUGAUAUGCAACGUGGUUAUAUCCAAAGGCCUCAGAUGAGAGCUGCAUUGUGUUGAGCACUAUACAAACGUAAAACAAAAGGACCAAGUCCUAUACCAGAGAUCUUAAAGCCUGUAGAUAUUGAUGUCCUGAAUUAAAUAUACAUAAGCUUUUGUGUAA